AUUGAACGCUGGCGGCAUGCCUUACACAUGCAAGUCGAACAGUAACAGGUUAAGCUGACGAGUGGCGAACGGGUGAGUAAUGUAUCGGAACGUGCCCAGUCGUGGGGGAUAACUACUCGAAAGAGUGGCUAAUACCGCAUACGACCUGAGGGUGAAAGCGGGGGACCGUAAGGCCUCGCGCGAUUGGAGCGGCCGAUAUCAGAUUAGCUAGUUGGUGGGGUAAAAGCCCACCAAGGCGACGAUCUGUAGCUGGUCUGAGAGGACGACCAGCCACACUGGGACUGAGACACGGCCCAGACUCCUACGGGAGGCAGCAGUGGGGAAUUUUGGACAAUGGACGCAAGUCUGAUUCAGCCAUGCCGCGUGCGGGAAGAAGGCCUUCGGGUUGUAAACCGCUUUUGUCAGGGAAGAAACGAGUUUCUCUAAUACAGAGACUUAAUGACGGUACCUGAAGAAUAAGCACCGGCUAACUACGUGCCAGCCGCCGCAGUAAGAC
rnacentral:rRNA from 1 species